rnacentral:rRNA from 1 species
UACGAAGGGGGCUAGCGUUGCUCGGAAUCACUGGGCGUAAAGGGUGCGUAGGCGGCGCGGUAAGUCGGGUGUGAAAUCUCGGAGCUUAACUCCGAAACUGCAUUCGAUACUGCUGUGCUUGAGGACUGGAGAGGAGACUGGAAUUUACGGUGUAGCGGUGAAAUGCGUAGAUAUCGUAAGGAAGACCAGUGGCGAAGGCGGGUCUCUGGACAGUUCCUGACGCUGAGGCACGAAGGUCAGGGGAGCAAACGGG